GAUGAAGAACGUAGCGAAAUGCGAUACGUAAUGUGAAUUGCAGAAUUCAGUGAAUCAUCGAAUCUUUGAACGCAUAUUGCGCUCUCUGGUAUUCCGGAGAGCAUGCUUGUUUGAGUAUCAGUAAACACCUCAACUUCCAUAUCUUUUUUGAAAUGGGAGUUGGACUUGAGUGAUCCCAACGCUUUUCCUCACCGAAAAGUGGCGGGUUACUUGAAAUGCAGGUGCAGCUGGACUUUUCUCUGAGCUAUAAGCAUAUCUAUUUAGUCUGCCUAAAAAACAGAUUAUUACCUGUGCUGCAGCUAACAUAAAGGAGAUUAGUUCUUGUGCUGACUGAUGCAGGAUUCACAAAGACGGCUUCGGCCGACUUUGUAAACUCGAUCUCAAAUCAAGUAAGACUACCCGCUGAACUUAAGCAUAUCAAUAAGCGGAGGA
rnacentral:misc_RNA from 1 species